AAAGAGUUUGUAUCAUCCCUAUAUCUACAAAAUAAUAAAAUUUUGUUCAUCGAGGAMGAAAGUUUCGAACACUUGUUUUCACUGAGGAGAAUAAAUUUAGCUGGCAACAUGAUCUUACGUAUUACGGAAAUGAUGUUUUCAAACAAUGUGGAAAAGUUUCUAAUGGGAAAAUCUAACAACGCUUUACAAAACAUUGAUCUAAGAAACAAUAACAUUCAUUUUGUCGAURAAAAUACAUUUCAGUCAAUGGAAGGACUCGAUUAUUUGGAUAUGCGUUACAACAGUCUUACAAACGUGUCCUGGAAAAUUGCUGUUAAAGCAAAACUAACUUCUCUGUA